rnacentral:rRNA from 1 species
UACGAAGGGGGCUAGCGUUGCUCGGAAUCACUGGGCGUAAAGCGCACGUAGGCGGACUCUUAAGUCAGGGGUGAAAUCCUGGAGCUCAACUCCAGAACUGCCUUUGAUACUGAGAGCCUUGAGUCCGGAAGAGGUAAGUGGAACUGCGAGUGUAGAGGUGAAAUUCGUAGAUAUUCGCAAGAACACCAGUGGCGAAGGCGGCUUACUGGUCCGGUACUGACGCUGAGGUGCGAAAGCGUGGGGAGCAAACGGG